AUUCAUAUAGAAAGGAAAACAGCUCCUCUGAACAUGUCUACAAUCCUGAGAAGUUUAAAUAUUAGCAUAAUAAAAAUUAUAUGUAAAUUCAUGGAGUAUAACCAUAUCAAAUUAUAAUAGCGGGAGAAGGGGGUACACCCACUCUUCAUCUCAAAUUUAUUAGUUUCAAUCCUAAUAUCACAACCUAUGUAUGUAUUCUUUGUCCGGUGAAAAUCUACAAGCAAAUGAAAAUAGAACGCAGAUAUUCAAGCCAGAAGUUUCAAUUAGGCAAGAAAACCUCGAUUCAUGUGGACUAAAUGUCUAUCAACAACAUACAGACGUAGUUUGCGUUGAGCAAGACACACUACGUCCCCGGACGAAGUGACUGUUUCAUAAUAUCGAUUAUGCAAUAGGAGGAUACUGGUCUACUACGCCGAAAGUAAGCAAAGACCAUAAAAAAAGAGAAGAAGAAGAUUAUCUGUUUUCUGUGUUUUAGUGUUUUUCUAUGCUGUAUUUUUUUUUAUCUUUCUUGAUCCUUGAUACUAUUAUUAUUUCUAUCAAAGAAUAUUUUGUGUUUCUAUUUUCUAUUGUCAUUCACUUGAAGCACUGUAUAGAAAUAAACGCAAGUAAGUAAAGUUCACUCUCCGCAAUAUUUGGGUCAAGAUUCUCCACCUCGAAUUAUAUGCUUAGCCGACCUAGUGAUUUGGUUUCAAUUGCUGGAUGGGUAUUAUCACAGGAAAACUUUUGGAGCCAAUAAUUUUCGACUGACAAUUGAGUGCGAAAAGAUAUCUGUAGUUCCUUAGAAAUCAAAUUAACGAUUUCAUUGAAGAUUUGCCACUGGCUAACCAAGUUGAUAUCUAUUUUCAACAAGAUGGAGCGCCACCUCACAAUUCUCAAGUCCUAAGAGAACAUCUGAAUGACACCUUCCCAGAAAAGUGGAUUGGCACUUAUGGACCUAUUCGGUGGCCUACGAGAUCACCAGAUCUCACUCCACUAGAUUUUUUCUCUGGGAAACAAUUAAAAAUCAGGUUUACAAUACAACAUCAGCUACUCCUGAAGAACUAUAGCAUAAAGUAAGGGUGGCAUUCGAGAACAUCACUGAGGAUUAGGCCAUUUUGAGGAGUGAAUUGUUGGGAAUAUUUUUUUAAAAGUGUGUAGGUUGUGUAUUACAUUGAUGUAUACUAUUCAUGAUAAAUGAAGGUCAUCCAAAAAGACAAAACAAUUUUUGAUCUUGUUUACAAGUUACUAUACAGGAGAAAAUUUCGGAACUACAUGUGACGUAAAAGAGAGAAUCACAGUAAAUUGGUGUAAUUUGAAUUUCUAAACUCUAUGUUCAGCCCAGAAAAAAUCAAUUAUUGCUUAGCACAUUUUGUAUAGCUAUUUACAGUGCAUUAUUUUGCUAAUAUAUACCAUCAGUGAAAUAUGUUUUACCAAAUGAGUUAACAGCUACUAACAAACAAUACAUCACAUUGUACUUAUAGGUUGGCCCAGAGUUCAACUGUAGCGUUGCUGUUUCCAUUUAGGACAACGUUGAAUUAGAAAGAUUCAAAAUCUUGGACAAGUGACUGAAUACUAUGUAGUGUCCGAUCGAAAGUUCGGUUUUGGUCUAGUUUCGGCAUAAAAACGGGUUUUGGUGGCAAACCUACCGAAACUGCAUUCGGGAGUUCCUGCGCUGUGAUCGGUCAUGUUCGGCUCGUUAAAUUUCAUACGAGUGAUAUUAGGUAACAACUCAAAUAAGUAAUUUUAUGUUAAAUAUUUUUGAAAACCCGCCAAUAUUCAAAAGAAUCUAAACCUUCUCAAAUAAACACCUCAUCUAUUUUAAGUAUUUUUAGAUGCAAUUGAUAUUUUUUCUUGAAUAAGGGUUUUUUAUACAUAACAUGAACAUCUGUGAGUAAGUGAACACGUGCAUCGCCGGAGUCCCGACAGAAACUAAAGUUUUAGUGUUUUUUUACUGAUAAAAAUUUCUAAUUUCACAUCAAAACAUCCGUGAAACUACAGCGAAUAAAUAACCUAGUGAAGAUGAAAAUCAGUUUUUAAGCCUGAGUUAGUAAUAAUUUAAUAAUAUCUUCAAUCAAUUCAAUUGGGCCUAAACCAAAAGGUGGUUGAAAUUAGCCACAUCUGGCAAGACAAGUGAAUGAAUAACACCGAGGUGUAUCUUGGUGUGUGUGUGUGUGGUCGCCUUAACCCGUAAUUAUCAAGCCGGAUUCAGACAUUCAACACUAAACAUUCAGACAAAGUCUGCUUUAUUCCAGUGGUUUGAGGCAAAAUUCCAGAUCAAAUAAACGAGGAACGCGUGCUGAAUGUGUUUGUGUUCAUAAAAAAAAGUAAUGAUAUGAGUAUCCUCAAUGAAACAAUUUACGAAUUAUUAACUGAAAUAAAGCAACAAAACAAAAAUAUAGGUAGACAGAAUAAUACAAUUAAAAAAGACAUUGAUAUUUUGAAUCAUAAACUAACUACCUUACAAACUGAACUAGCUCAAUUGAAAAAAAUAAAUGUGGAGUUAUUAAAAGAGAAUGGCUGGAUGAAGAAGAAAACCAACAGUCUAGAAAAACAUUCUAAGAAAUAUAACCUAUUCAUAACCAGCUUAGCAAGAAAAAAAUACCAAAGAAGAUAUCUAUACCCUAUUGAGAAACAAACUCGGAAUCGAAUAUUCUGAAAGUGACAUCGGAGAUACAUAUAGGGUUGG
rnacentral:lncRNA from 1 species